UCAUUAGAGGCAGCUGAGAAACCCACGAGAGAAAAAGUUGAUUUCUGGCUGCAGGAAUUCUUGAAAACUCACAAAAUGAAAAUGAAGGAGAAAGUAGAACACAUAUUUGAGGGUAAAAAAGAAAAGGAAGAACAUCUGAAGAAUGUUUUCACAGAACUCUUCAUUACGGAGGGGAUACUGAAAAAGUCAAUCAUGAACAUGAGGUUCUGCAGAUUUGAUGAUGCCAUUAAAAUCUGUAAAUCACAGAACAGGUCAAUCAAAUGCAAUGAUGUAUUUAGUCUGAACAAAAAUAAUAAGAAAAAGAUUGUGCUGACCAAAGGCAUCGCAUUGGCAUUGGAAAAAAACUGUCUCAGUGCACAAGUUCAUUCUUGACUGGGCAGAAGGAAAAUCCAAUGACAAUAUUGACUGUGUGUUUCUGCUUCCGUUCCGAAAGAUUAACUGCAUUAAAAACAGAGAGAUCAGUCUGCAUGAGUUUCUACAGAAGUUUAAUCCUGAAAAUGCAGGACCUGGAAACAACAAAGAUAAAUAAGGUAUAUAAAAUGUACGCUUGCAUUUAUCUUUGAUGGACUGGAUGAGAGUCGACUGGAUGAGAGUCGACUGGAUUUUGAAAGUGGAAUGGUGACGAGUGUUGAGGAGCGAUCUUCUGUAGAUGAACUGUUUACAAGUCUGGUGAAUGGGACUCUGCUUCCAUCAGCGCUCAUCUGGGUGACAUCACGACCAGCAGCAGCCAAUCAGAUCCCUCCUGAGUAUGUCGGGUUGUUCACAGAGGUGCGAGGAUUCACUGACCAGCAGAAGCAGGAGUACUUCAGAAAGAGAAUCAAAGAUGAAAACUCAGGCCUCCAGAAUGAUCUCACACAUUAAGAAAUCUCGAAGUCUCUAUAUCAUGUGCUACAUUCCCGUGUUCUGUUGGAUCACAGCCACUGUUCUUCAAGACAUCCCUAUUGGGAACAACGCACAGGACAUCAACACAACACUCACUGAAAUGUACAUCCAUUUCCUGCUGAUACAGAUGAACAUGAAGAACCAGAAGUAUGACAGAAAAA